ensembl:lncRNA
GAUCUAUCAUAAAUACAAACCAUAGAUUAUCGCGCUAAAGUGCUGUAAUAGCCUAGUAGCGGUUUAGCAUCGGUCCAUCAUGUUGAACCGUCCUUAUACUAGUUUAUGUGCGUUCUACUCCGUGUUCUUUAUCCACGCGCAGCCUUAUCUCCCAUGAGUUGUUUUCCCGGUGUUUGGAGUGGGAGGGGAAUUCAUUCCAGGUCCCCCCCUCCUCGCGCGCCUUCCCAUCACUUCCUGUUCCUCAAACGCUACGUCUCUCGUCUGGGCAGAAGGCGGCAGCAGCAGCAGCAGCCUACGCGUAUCCCACAGGUGUGUGUUCCUGACCAAAGCGAGAGCUCCCGAAGAGAUACACACCUGGAAGGAACCAUCAUGUGACCGGCACCUGGGCGUGGAGAAAGUCCUUUGUAUUUCCCUGACUCCUUUUGCGAGUUGCCCGUGUCGUCUUUGAGCAAGGAACUCCCUGUCGGUCGAGCAGUAAUCCUGUUUUCUACGGAAUAGUGCCUUUUUUUUGCAGCCGCCUGUAGACCCGCGAGCAGAAAGAACAUGAGCCUCGGGUUCAUGUGACCGAAGGGACUCCAGGUCUGGACUUGAGAUUUUUGGAACUACUGUUGGUUUCUUCCUCCAAGUCCAGGUCAGUUGGAGCAGAUGACAAAGCCGGCGUGAUGUUGAUGACAGACCGGCGAGGUGAGAUCACGUUAAUUAGUGUGUGCUUCUUCCCUCUUCCCUCCCGCCAGCUGGCUGAGGGGUCGGGCUUGGCGAGGGCUGUUGGGGGGCUAGGGGAGCCUGGCCACCUGACCUCUGUCUGUUUACUCCUUCACAGCCUCAGAAGUUCAACUCCAGAGUAAAAAUCAAAGGUCUGAUGGCAGACGAGCUGAAAUCUGGGGCAGAGAGGGGCGUUUCACUUUCUUUCGCAAACAGAUACUCAACCAGCGCUAGUAAGCUGUGAAAAAGGUGAUUGUAAAUGUUGGCAAUCAACACAUUGUCGACUUGCCGCUGUAGAAACAAGAAACAAGGUGUAACUCUGCCUCUAACGGCCUUCGGUUUCCGGCUCAAGCUCUGUGCCGUCUCCCCCUAGAAGUUCUGCGAUAAGAUAGUAGGACUGGGUCCGAGAUUGACCCCUCCAUAAAUGCAUUGACCCACUGCUAAGAUUAAUCCAUAGACACCACCCACAGAGAGGGACCUGGGAUCUGCAGUGGACCCCUUCCAACCCCAGACAAUCUCCCACUGGAAACGAGUGUUGCUCCUCAGACCCCAAAAAGCCAUCUGGAGCAGGAGGAGGUCAUUCUGGAGGCGGGGGCACACGUUUACCCCUCAAACAACCUUGAAACUCUUCCCAUCUCCACACGGCCCUUCCUGUGUGUGUGGUUCCUUUUGCGUCCCACUGCCAGCUCAUGCUGGCCGGAUGAAUCACAGCCGGAGUGAUGUAUUUUGUAUUUAUAGUACCCCCAUCUUCACCUUUUUAACAGCUAAGUAAACCCCCAGUUUUGGCUGUAUGUUUUCCUGGCAAUGAGUUUAGAAAGAACAUGAUCAGCAAUGAUCGUAGUAGUGACGGUUGUAAAGGUUUGAGGAUAAAAAAUUGGGGACCAUAGGAUCCAGUGCGAGGGGCGCUGUCAAACGUUCUCAUAACCCACCCUAAACUCGCUGGAGCUAGGGGGUGCACCCGCAGAAAAGGCCCGCUCUGGGAAUGCGCACUCAGCCGGAAGGGGGCAGCUCUCUCUGACUAUAUUCCCUGUUUAAAAAUUAAUAUAUAAUUCCCUGUUUGCGUCUUUCCUCAUUUUGGGGGGAAUGAUCACAAUUUAUUUCCCAAAAAUGAAACCCUUUUCAACUGUAAGUUAUUAUUAUUUCUUUUACCCUUUGACCAGUCCCCUGCCUCCACCGGUUCCACACAGUGUGCACAAAUCAGCCACAGUUAUGUUCAGCAAUGGAAAAGAUGAAUGUAGAAAUGAAAGGAAGCCGUAAAUGAUUAAGGCAGGGAAAGUGAGAAGGAGUGGGGUAGAGUGAAUAAAUGGUGUGCUUAAUUGUGUGGCCGCGGGCUUCUCGGUGGCUGAAUGUUCAGAGAGCAGUGGGGGGAAGGUGAAGGCAGCAGCAGGUAGCCUGGCUGUCAGCAGCGUGGGGGCUGUGGUGAGUCUUGGCAUCAGUCACUGGUGUGAUGGAGACACAAAGCAGGGUCCACUCGCUCUCAUCCCGGUGGCGGUCUAGGCUGACGGAUUGACACUCACGCCUCGCUGGGUGUGCGGGCGACUCUUCUGAUGUCAACCGGCCCACCCGGGCCGAGUCAGCCACUGGCGAAAGUUAACAUCUAGCCGCAGUGUCUGCCAGGGACGGAGUCGGCCUUCUGAGGAACUUGUUGGCGACGCGAGGCUGGAGCCUGAGGGUCACCUUCGUCCAGCGCCAAGGAUGUGGUCGCCUCCUCCAGCCUCAGUUUGGUUGAAAGAGGCAGCGCCAGCCAAGAAAGCUAAUUUAUUCUCCCUCCCUCCGGUUAAUUGGCCUGGGCACAUAACUGCAGUCCAAAAACGUUAUCCGUUUAACGACUUCAGAGAGAGUAGUCCAUCCCACUUGAACGUGAAAGUAAUGAUAAUGAUCAGAAGUGGUGAGUCACACCCUGCGCUCUGCCCUCCGACCCCCGACCUCAUUCCUCCCCCGAUGUAAUUAAAGAUGAGGCAGACAUUAUCGGAAUUAAAGGUUUGUUUAACAUCCC